rnacentral:rRNA from 1 species
UACGUAGGGAGCAAGCGUUGUUCGGAUUUACUGGGCGUAAAGGGCGCGUAGGCGGCGCGGUAAGUCACUUGUGAAAUCUCUGAGCUUAACUCAGAACGGCCAAGUGAUACUGCGGUGCUAGAGUGCAGAAGGGGCAAUCGGAAUUCUUGGUGUAGCGGUGAAAUGCGUAGAUAUCAAGAGGAACACCUGAGGUGAAGACGGGUUGCUAGGCUGACACUGACGCUGAGGCGCGAAAGCCAGGGGAGCAAACGGG